UCCAGUUUCACACUGGCAGUCCCUCUAGAGUGCCCAACUUAAUGGUGGCAACGAGAGGCGUGGGUUGCGCUCGUUACGGGACUUAACCCAACAUCUCACGACACGAGCUGACGACAGCCAUGCAGCACCUGUCUCUUUGUCCCUUGCGGGAAAACCGGCUUUCACCGGCGGUCAAAGGAUGUCAAGACCAGGAUAAGGUUCUUCGCGUUGCGUCGAAUUGAACCACAUGCUCCACUGCUUGUGCGGGUCCCCGUCAAUUUCUUUGAGUUUUAAUCUUGCGACCGUACUCCCCAGGCGGGAUGCUUAACGCGUUAGCUUCGUCACUGAAAGGGUUUAUUCCUCCAACGACAAGCAUCCAUCGUUUACGGCGUGGACUAC
rnacentral:misc_RNA from 1 species